rnacentral:lncRNA from 1 species
AUGUAUGUGUAACUGGGUCACCAUGCUGUACAGUAUAAAAAAACUGCAUUGGGGAAAUAACAAUAAAAUUUUUUUUUAAUUUUAUGGCAUGCUUUUUGUAUUCAAAAUUUAUAUCUAAUUUCUUUUAUUGUUUAUUAUUUACCUGUUCUUAUUGUCACAGCCAUUCAUUCAUUCUCCUUAUCUUGUAUAGAACAUGUACUAGUAUAAGCGUCUUUCAAAUAAUUUUAUGAAUUGGAGAAUAGGUCAGAAAUGUUUACUAAUGAAUUAUAUUAAUGAAUGAAUAGAUAGAAAAAUAGGUAGAUUCAUAAAUAAAUAAAUAAAUAUUUCAGGACUUGCUUUUCCACUACUACUGACCAAAAAAUAAAUUUUAGUUUUAACAUAUUUGGGUUUUGAUUAUUCCACAAAAAUUUAAACAAGUGUCAAAAAGUAGCAUUGUCUUUAGCAAAAUUAAAAGAUGAUCAUUUGUAGAAUCAUUAAAAAUGAGGCCACCAACAGAAUAAAGUUUAUCUGAUAUUCAUUAGGACAUUGCUAAUGACAUAUGACAAAAAGUGACAUGUCAAUUUUGUCUGCAAAGUAAGAAGUUCCCUAUAUUUCUGUUGAUGCCAUCCAAGAUGAAGGGACUCACAGUAUUGUCAAAUCAAUCAAACAACUGGCCCUUACUAAUGUUAUAAGUCAAAAAUACAUACACAACCGUAUGUAAAAGACCAUUUUGUCAAAAAUGGAGACCCACAGACUUAUAGGUAUAAUCCAUUUGGAUUUAUAAAAGUAUUGAUCCACUUGAUACACUGAAUCUCAUAGAAUCAAACUUCUUAGAUGUUUUUUCUCAUGCCCUUCUAAAAUAAAUUAAAAAUUAAAACACCCCUAUUUCCAUUGGAUUAGGAAAAGAUGCAGUCUAUCAUUACAUCAGGUGUUUAAAUAUCUCAUUAGUAUGAGAACACUAUGUGGGCCACUACUAUUGCUGUAUUUGAAACCUGAUGAAAUGCAUCCAGACUUUUAUUUUACUCAGACAAUGUUAGUCGAGCAGCUACCAUGUGCCAGGCACUGUACUGGACACUAAGAAUACAGUGAUAAAUAAGACAAAGUGUCUGUCCUCUUAGAUCUUAACACUCUACUAACAUAAAAUAGUAAUAGUGCAGUCAAGUACAGACAGCACAGAUGGUAACAAAAAUAGCUGCUAAUACUGAUAAGAAUUUUAAAGAAAAUAAAACAGAGUAAGAAGACUAAAUUAGUCCACAUACAAUCAAGGAGAUACUCUAUUGAAAACAAAGGUAAUGAACUAGUGACCGAAGUGAAGAGUCAAAUAAGACAAAUGUUCCGGAGAUUAGCAAAAGAGAAAUGUCAUUACCACUCCCAGGAUGGAAAGACAAAUGUGGGUAGUUGUGUUAACCAGAUUUUAAGGACCAGGGUCUUCAGGAAGAAGCUGAAACCACAGUGCAUCUGGAGUGAGCUGGAGCCACAGAGGAAAAAAGCAAGCACUGCUGGAGACACCACUCCACAAACAGAGAAGAGAGAGGAAAAAUCCAUCUCUGCAUCAGUGCUGCUCAUUGGUCAAAUGCAACAGGCAGCCAGCUGAUACAUCAGACUGGAAAAUACAGCCUGCCACAGUCAGCCCCAGUGCCUAACAGUCCAGUGAGAGAUAAGCAAGAAUGGGAUCUGAGGGCAAAGCCUGAGUUUGUACAAUAGACAGUGACCAGGGAGCAAAGGAGAUAUUUUAAAUAAUGGUCAGGGAUUGUCAUACUAGGAGAUUAUAUUUGAGCAGGGACCUGGGGAUAAGGAAGAAGCCAUACGGAGCUCUGAAGAGAGCAUUCCAGGUAGGGAAACAGCAAGCAAGUAUAAAGUCUCUAAUGGCAUAAAAAAACCUUGCCAGGUUUGAGCUAUGCUGUGAAGACUACAUGUAAAGGAGGGAGUGUCAGGGGAGGUAACCAGGCUGUUGGUUAGAAACAGCUCAUUAUAGGUUUUUGUGGGUCAUGGCGAGGAGUUUAGAAUUGAUUAUUGUAUUAAUUGAAGAGAUUUUUGCCUGUCUUUUCUACUUGCAAAUUAGGCAUUGCAGAAAGUGAGCAUAAAUUCUGCUGUUAAAACUUGCUUAUCAACCUUAGGAAAAAAGGACCCAACUCUGCCCUUUUAAGGACAGUAAUGUAAUGUCACAUGGCUAUGUCAUCUCAAUAGUGCACAUACACUCAGAUUAACUUGGAGAAUUUGUGAGCAAGCUCCCAAACAGAACUCAUACUUCACUAUUACAACCUUCCUCCCCUGUAAAUGUAGAGCAAUUUCCACUAAGUUGCUGGGUGCCAACUUAGCUGCUAAUCUGAGCCCUGGAAUUCUCAUUUUCUUCUGAGUCUUUCUAAGCACCACAGAUAAGAAGUCUUUGUGUCUUGGCUCCAUUUACUUCAUUGUUCUUUAUUUUUAAAAGUGGUAAAAUUUCUUAAAAAGUGAGUUAUUAAUGAGAAAUUUGAACCGUCUGGAAAUGGCCUUUUGUGACAUAUGAUAUUGCCAUUAGUAACAUAGGAACUAUAAGUUUUAUACUGUUUAGGCUCAUUAUCCUUUAUUUAUUAACCAAAAAUUUAUGAAGAAAAACAAUGCAAAUGAUAAACAGUAACAACAACAACAAAAAUUGAUCAAAAAAAUUUAGGGAGAUUUAAGUGAUAAAUUGGAUUAAUGUAUAUUAGAUAUCCAUUUGUUCCAGAAGUAGUUUCUAAGUACCUACCACAUCCCAAGCAUCAAGGUAUUGAGGAUGCAAUACUUUGAGACAUGGUCUGGACCUAGUUCUUGACUUCUGAGAGAUUUAUUACUAAUGACUACAUCAUUGCACUUCCUACAACAGCUACCAAAAAUGCCUUUGCACAUAGGAGGUGCUAAAUAACUAUACAUCAAAUGAAUAAACAGGUGAUUCUGUUUCAUGUGUUCAUUUCAUCAAAAUGAAUUAAGUUCUGUGACAGUUAAUGUCCAAUAGCCAGAAAUGUACCUGUUAGAAUACUGAGCAAGCAGAAUUAAACAGAAAAGUGACUUUAUUCAGUGAAAGGAUAAUUAAUUGUUAGUGUUAAGAGCUGAAAUGGUAUGUGAAAAAUGGUAUGUCACUAAGACAAUGAUAUGGAAACAUUUAAAAAUGAAAGCUCCUUUGAGUAAAGUUUUGGAAAAGAAAAAAGGAAAGAAAUAAAAGCUUAAAACAAAUUUCCCAUUAAGAGGGAAAGAUUAGCAGUGACUGUGGGAAAAUAGAAAAUAGUACAACUCAUAAUCCAAUAAUCCAAUAAUCCAGUACUUGCUAAAACCCUUAUAUAGAACAUUGCCCUUUUAAAUUGGGUAAUUUAAUGCAGAAGCAAAUUAGCACAGCAUAUGGAAUAGAAAGGAAAAUGUCGGUUAUUUCCUAAACUUCUCUGGAAAAUUGUUCUCAACAUUCACUUAAUGGGAUGUGCGAAUAUGUCAAUGAUCAAGGGUUUGCUAUAAAAUAAUACAAUUUUUCCUCAUUUACUCAAUUCUUAAAGACUUUCAUAGCUAUAAAAAUUGUCUGGCAUCAUAUAUUGCCAGGUUUAUGGUCAGAGGUUUGUGAAAACCUCCUCUUAUUACCUGCUAUAUGAUCAGUAAGCUAAUUAACUUAACAGUAAUACCUACUAUAAUAAUCUCUGAAGGUCUUGAAACUGAAAUUCUCUAAAUGUUUGGUAAGGUAAAUGCUAAAACAUUAUAUAUUUUUUUAAAGAACCAAGCCAAGAUCAAUGAAAGAAGAGCCAAAUGAAUGGGACUAUUUGUCAGCCUUGUGUCUCGCUAGAGAGUAUUAUGUAGAAAUAAUACCUAAAGAAAAAAUUAUGAAUUCAUUUUUCAUCAUUUCCUAUAAUUAAAAUAUAGGCUUAAAUAAUUUUGUUAACUCACAAGAGAAAGAGAUAUUUUACCAAAUCUGGCCAAAGAGAUGCUUUUCUAAGGAAAUAAAAGGAGUUCAUUGUAUCCAGAUUUAGGAUAAAUCUGUUCCUGUAAGCAGAGGCAUCUGUUGUUACUAGCAUUUUUUGUGUGUGUGAAUAUGAAUUGAAUAUGAAUUUUACUUCCAUAAGCUUCUUUUUACAUCUAAUUUCUGAAUUCAAAAGUUCUGGAGAGAUUUAAGGGGAAGUAGUCCUCUCAAAACUAUAAAGGAUAUAGAAUAUAAAUUUAACUAGAAAGAAGAAUAAGUAUGAUGGCUAAGAAACAAUGUGCAUCUGUGCUUGUUGAGGUCAGUGUUAAAAUAAUACCAUAGUCUUAUAUUUGUGAAAAACCAAAGACUGCUACAACUCUUUGAUAGCAAGAAUACAGCAAGUAAAUCUAAAAUAAUUGCAGGCCUUGAAGGAUGUAACAGUGGCAAAGUCAGAAAAGCAGGGCAUAUAUUUCCUCCCUUAAAAUUAAAUGAACAUAUACCCAGAGAAAAUGGCUGCUGUCAUGGUUGAUUAUCACAGUGAAGUCCAGGCUAAGAGCUGUGUGUCAGCUGUGAUUUGCACACAUACCACCAGGUCUCAUCUCUACAGCUGCAGCUUUGGCAGGGAAGCUAGGAGUGCUGAUUUCAGAGGCAAUCAGAACUGGGCUCCAGGCAUGGCUCUCCAUCUUCCCAGCUGUGUGGCCCUAGGUAAGCCGUUCACCUUUGCAAACCUCAUCAACUUCAUGGGAUGAUGAGACUACAGGGGAUAAAGCUUUUCUCCCCACUGCUGAGGGUUUUUUCCACAUCCAAAAGACCUGCACUGGCCUUUCUACAUGUACUAUUUACCCUGCUCUGCCUCUGGGGAAAGACUUCUCUUGAUUAGUAAAUUUGGAGAGAAUAACUGUUUGUACUCAGCUCCAAGGAGCAAGCAUGGCCACCAACAUCAUAGACAGCAAAGAUAUGUUCUGCUUUGUCAUGCCUUAAAUCUUACCUGGGAGAUUUGACUCAGUUCAGCAUCGUCAUUAUUGAUGGGUAAGAUUAGAGCCACAUCUUUUAACAUGGCCUCUAUUAACAAUGGGGUGAUACCCCUAUAUUUCUCUCAUUUAUCUUAUUUCUUAACAACUUUAGAAGUCUGAUGGGGAAGAGAAGUGCUGGAUGCCCCUUUAGAGAUCCCAACAUUUACUAUGAUUAUUACUACUUACUAUCAUUGGCCAUUAACUGAUACGGGAAAGGGGAAAGAGUUGACAUUAUUGAAUACACUCCAUCACCAUUCCUCAGGAUUCUAUUAACAUCUAUUGGAUACAGUUUGAAAUACUGGAACUGUAUGGAACUUAGCUAAUCCAGUGCCAUCUUUAUAUAAAUAGGAAUCUUAGUUCUUAAAUUUAUCCCUCUAGAUAGCUAGGGACAGAAUCAAAACACAAUCCAAAUUUUCAGACUACUAAUUCUCCAGACUCUCAAUAUAAUGUUCUUCUUUUUACUCUCUGCUGUACUCUUGCACUACUCUUAAUCGGCAAUUCAUUCUUGAUUCUUCUUUUGUAUUCUUUUUUAACUAGUAAAUUUCUCUUUUUAUUCUCAAUUCAGAGUUAGAAUUUUGGAGAGAAACAAAGCACCUCAGAAAUAAGGAGAGAGAAGGGAGAACUAAGAAAAAGCUUAGCUCACUCACUUUCACCCCAGAUAGGAAGUACCAUAUUCAUAUUUGUUAGUUUAUUUUGGUUUUUAAGACAAGCUAAAGAUUUGCCAGCUCAGUGUUUUACAAAAUGUGGUCUUCAGACCAGCAGCAUCAGCAGCAUCUGGGAACUUGUUAGAAAGGGAAAUUCUUGAGCCCACUCCAAACCUGCUGUAUUAGCUAGGGCUGCCAUAAUAAAAUACCAUGCACUGGUUGCCUUUAACAACAGAAAUGUGUUGUUUCAUAGUUCUGGAGGCUUAAAGGUCUAAAAUUAAGGUGCCCACAGGUUUGGUUUCUCCUGAGCUCUCUCACUCUCUCUGGCUUCCAGAUGGCUGCCUUCCUGCUACAUUCUCUCUCAUGGACUUUCCUCUGUGUGUGGGCACCCCUGGAGUCUCUUCCUCUUCAUAUAAGGAAAAUCGGUCCUGUUGUAUUAGAGUCCCACCUUAUGACCUCACUUAAACUUAAAUGCCUCUUUAAAGGCUCUAUCUCCAAACACAGUCACAUCCUAAGGUACUAGGAUUAGGGCUUCGAUAUAAAAAUUUUGAGAAAACACAAUUCAAUCCAUAACAUCUACUGAGUAAGAAACUGGAUGGGGUUCCCUUUGUGGCGCAGUGGUUAAUGAAUCCAACUAGGAACCCUGAGGUUGCAGGUUCAAUCCCUGCCCUUGCUCAGUGGGUUGAGGACCCGGCGUUGCCAUGAGCUGUGGUGAAGGUUGCAGACACGUCUUGGAUCCCGCGAUGCUGUGGCUCUGGUGUAGGCCGGUGGCUACAGCUCCGAUUAGACCCCUAGCCUGGGAACCUCCAUAUGCCGCAGGAGUGGCCCUAGAAAAAGGCAAAAAG